UGGAAACCUGAGGGCAGCAACAAAAUGCAAACUGAGAUUACACAACAAUCGCAAUAAAACCAAAGCAGGCGACCCACAGAGCACAUCUGAGGAAUCCAAACUCCAGUGGGACAAUUUACCAGAGAUCAGUGGACAGACACGUGAGAACAUGAAGACUGUGAUUCUUGCUCUUGUGGUGUUGCUGGUUGUCAGCCAGGGUGAAGCCUUGGAGUGUUGGUGUGGAGGUGCAAAGUUAUGUUCAGGGCGUACAGAGACCUGCCGCGGUUCAAACGAUGUCUGUGCCAGUGUCCGCUAUGAAAACUAUCCUCGCAACAACUUCCAUGGUUGCUAUCAGAGAGACAAUUGCCAGAAGCUGAAUCGUCAGGGUUUAGUAUCUUGUGGAUGCUGCAAUACUGACCGAUGCCAGGCAGCGCUAUCUAGUUGUUAAAUGAAGUGAAUGACUGAAUGUCAUACAAUGUGUGUUGUUGCAUUGUCAUAAUAAAGAUCAGUCAGUUGCAA